CUACGUGCCAGCAGCCGCGGUAAUACGUAGGGCGCGAGCGUUGUCCGGAAUUAUUGGGCGUAAAGAGCUUGUAGGCGGUUUGUCGCGUCUGCUGUGAAAGGCCGGGGCUUAACUCCGUGUAUUGCAGUGGGUACGGGCAGACUAGAGUGCAGUAGGGGAGACUGGAAUUCCUGGUGUAGCGGUGGAAUGCGCAGAUAUCAGGAGGAACACCGAUGGCGAAGGCAGGUCUCUGGGCUGUAACUGACGCUGAGAAGCGAAAGCAUGGGGAGCGAACAGGAUUAGAUACCCUGGUAGUCCAUGCCGUAAACGUUGGGCACUAGGUGUGGGGGACAUUCCACGUUUUCCGCGCCGUAGCUAACGCAUUAAGUGCCCCGCCUGGGGAGUACGGCCGCAAGGCUAAAACUCAAAGAAAUUGACGGGGGCCCGCACAAGCGGCGGAGCAUGCGGAUUAAUUCGAUGCAACGCGGAGAACCUUACCAAGGCUUGACAU
rnacentral:rRNA from 1 species